UAACCCGCCCUCUGUAAAUAUAAAUGGCCGCAGUAUUUUGACUGUGCUAAGGUAGCAUCAUCAUUAGUUUUUUAAUUAAAAGCUGGAAUGAAAGGUUGAAUGAAAAAGUAUCUUUAUUUAUUUAAUAUAAUUAAAAUUUUAUUUUUAAGUUAAAAAGCUUAGAUGUAUAUUAAAGACGAGAAGACCCUAUAGAGUUUUAUAUUUAUUAUUAUUAUUAUAAUUUAGUAUUAUGUUUAAUUUAAUAUUAUAUAUUAAGUUGGGGUGAAUAAAAAAAUAAUAAAACUUUUCCUUCAUAUUAAUAUUAUUAAAUAAAUAAAUGAUCCUAAUUAUAGAUUAAAAGUUAAAAUUACCUUAGGGAUAACAGCGUAAUUUUAUUAAAGAGUUCAUAUCGAAAAUAAAGAUUGCGACCUCGAUGUUGGAUUAAAAUCUAUUUUUAGUGUAGAAGCUAAA
rnacentral:rRNA from 1 species